ensembl:lncRNA
GGGACUAAGGGAGGAGAGCUAUACCUUAAGUCACGAGGGAGGAUGUAGAGCAAAUAGAUCUUUCGGCGGCAGCAGCUUUGGGGAGUCCAUGGCCAUCAGUCACUCCCUACUCCUUCUUGGCUGCCUGACAGCGGGGAUAGCACCUGCUACCACACGUUUCUUGAUCUAUGAUCUUGGAGAAGGUUUAUGCUAAAUUUUCUAGGACGAGAUCAGAUUAAGAAACUAUUGGUUCCUGCAGUUUGCCAGCAAAGAACUACAAUCAAGAUAUAAAUGGUUGAAAUGCCACAAGACAGACUAGGACAUUGUCCAGAAAAGAUCACAUCAGAUCAGUCGCUCAGUCGUGUCCGACUCUGUGACCCCAUGAAUCGCAGCAC